GGGCUUGACAUCCCACGAACCUGCCUGAAAGGGUAGGGUGCCCGCAAGGGAGCGUGGAGACAGGUGGUGCAUGGCUGUCGUCAGCUCGUGUCGUGAGAUGUUGGGUUAAGUCCCGCAACGAGCGCAACCCUCACCCCUAGUUGCCACCGGGUAAAGCCGAGCACUCGAGGGGAACUGCCAGCGUCAAGCUGGAGGAAGGCGGGGAUGACGUCAAGUCAUCAUGCCCCUUACGUCCUGGGCUACACACGUGCUACAAUGGCCAGUACAGAAGGAUGCGAGACCGCGAGGUGGAGCCAAUCCCAAAAAGCUGGUCUAAGUUCAGAUUGCAGUCUGCAACUCGACUGCAUGAAGUAGGAAUCGCUAGUAAUCGCGCAUCAGCACGGCGCGGUGAAUACGUUCCCGGGCCUUGUACACACCGCCCGUCACACCACGAAAGCUGGCUGUACUCGAAGUCGCUGAG
rnacentral:rRNA from 1 species